CAAGGAAUUAAUGUGUGCGUUAUAAGUAUAAUAAACAGCCAAUAUCCUAGUAAUAUUCAUGCUAAUAAGCAACUAGUUAAUAGUGAGAAUUGGACCCUAAACUAAAGUGUUCCCUUUAACUCCUUUAAAAAGUCAUGCAGAAACAUACUAUUUCUGUUUGCAGAGGUCGCCACUAGUACAUCUGAAGAAACUACUUCUAACAUGGAACAGCUUGACUCUAGUCAUAAGGCUUUUAAGGUCAGUCAACUUGCAGAGAAAACGAAUGCUAAGAAGAAGCAGCAUAUUUUAGGUUCCUACAAUAAAACAUUACAGAAGACACAGGUUUUUAAGGUCCAAACACACGCAGAGACUAAUGCAGAGGAGGAGGAGGAACAGGAAGAAGAAGAAGAA